UACAGAGGGGGCUAGCGUUGCUCGGAAUCACUGGGCGUAAAGCGCACGUAGGCGGAUUGUUAAGUCAGGGGUGAAAUCCUGGAGCUCAACUCCAGAACUGCCUUUGAUACUGGCGAUCUUGAGUCCGGGAGAGGUGAGUGGAACUGCGAGUGUAGAGGUGAAAUUCGUAGAUAUUCGCAAGAACACCAGUGGCGAAGGCGGACUCACUGG
rnacentral:rRNA from 1 species